UACAGAGGUCUCAAGCGUUGUUCGGAUUCAUUGGGCGUAAAGGGGGCGUAGGUGGCAGGGUAAGACGGAUGUGAAAUCCCGGGGCUCAACCUCGGAACUGCAUUCGAUACUGCUUUGCUUGAGUACUGGAGAGGAGAUUGGAAUUUACGGUGUAGCAGUGAAAUGCGUAGAUAUCGUAAGGAAGACCAGUGGCGAAGGCGGGUCUCUGGACAGUUCCUGACGCUGAGGCACGAAGGCCAGGGGAGCAAACGGG
rnacentral:rRNA from 1 species